rnacentral:tRNA from 1 species
GCCCUGGUGGCAAAAUGGUUAAGCACUCAGCUACUAACUGAAAGUUGGGGGUUCAAACCCACCAGUGGCU